rnacentral:rRNA from 1 species
UUGGAAACGGCAGCUAAUACCCCAUAGACUUGGCGCAUUUUGAAAGCGUUGAGUAAAGGAGCAAUCCGCUUUGAGAGGGGUCUGCGGUCUAUCAGGCUAGUUGGUGAGGUAACGGCUCACCAAGGCGAAGACGGAUAGGGGGGUGAGAGCGCGACCCCCCACAAUGGGACUGAGACACGGCCCAUACUCCUACGGGAGGCAGCAGUGAGGAAUAUUGCACAAUGGGGGCAACCCUGAUGCAGCAAUGCCGCGUGGGUGAUGAAGGUUUUCGGAUUGUAAAGCCCUUUUCUGUGAGAAGAGAGAGGACGGUAUCACAGGAAUAAGUCCCGGCUAACUACGUGCCAGCAGCCGCGGUAAAUCGUAGGGGGCGAGCGUUAUCCGGAUUUAUUGGGCGUAAAGCGCAUGUAGGCGGUAUGGUAAGAUAGGCGUGAAAGCUCUCGGCUUAACCGGGAGAGGACGUGUGUGACUGCCGUACUUGAGUGGAGUAGAGGAGAGCGGAAUUCCCGGUGUAGUGGUGGAAUGCGUAGAUAUCGGGAGGAACACCAGUGGCGAAAGCGGCUCUCUGGGCUUUAACUGACGUUGAGAUGCGAAAGCGUGGGUAGCGAACGGGAUUAGAUACCCCGGUAGUCCACGCUGUAAAACGAUGGGAUGCUAGGUGUAGCGGGUGUAGACCCCCUGCUGUGCCGCAGUUAACACGGUAAGCAUCCCGCCUGGGGGACUACGGUCGCAAGACUAAAACUCAAAGGAAUUGACGGGGGCCCGCACAAGCAGCGGAGCGUGUGGUUUAAUUCGAUGAUACGCGAAGAACCUUACCUGGGUUUGACAUAUAGGUGG